rnacentral:ncRNA from 1 species
AAAAAGGGUAGAGGUCGCAAUAUUUAAAAGUACUAAUGAGGAGUUAAGCGCGUAGAAUCAUUAGGAAAGGAACUAUUGCCGAAGGGUAUAGCUGAUGCUUUAAGGUUAUAUGCCUGGGGGUACAUAAAAUAUAUGUAUCACUGUCACAAUUUAUUUUGUGAAGAGCUACAUUUGAG